rnacentral:rRNA from 1 species
GAGGGGAUAGCUCGGGGAAACUCGAAUUAUAUACACGCAUACGACCUAUCUGGGUGAAAGGGGGCGCAAGCUCUUGCUAUUAGAUGAGCCUAAAUCAGAUUAGCUAGUUGGUGGGGUAAAGGCCCACCAGAGGCGACGAUCUGUAACUGGUCUGAGAGGAUGAUCAGUCACACCGGAGCAUGAGACACGGUCCGGACUCCUACGGGAGGCAGACAGUGGGGAAUAUUGGACAAUGGGGGCAACCCUGAUCCAGCCAUGCCGCGUGUGUGAAGAAGGCCUUUUGGUUGUAAAGCACUUUAAGCAGGGAGGAGAGGCUAAUGGUUAAUACCCAUUAGAUUAUACGUUACCUGCAGAAUAAGCACCGGCUAACUCUGUGCCAGCAGCCGCGGUAAUACAGAGGGUGCGAGCGUUAAUCGGAAUUACUGGGCGUAAAGCGAGUGUAGGUGGCUCAUUAAGUCACAUGUGAAAUCCCCGGGCUUAACCUGGGAACUGCAUGUGAUACUGGUGGUGCUAGAAUAUGUGAGAGGGAAGUACAAUUCCAGGUGUAGCGGUGAAAUGCGUAGAGAUCUGGAGGAAUACCGAUGGCAAAAGCAGCUUCCUGGCAUAAUAUUGACACUG